AAUGUAAUCGCUUCGGCCAUCGUUAGAAGGAAGUCCCUCACCCUUUGUUUUUUGUUUUCUUUCAGAGAACAGCAGUAUGAAAACAUUGGUGAGAGGUUCAAGCAGGAAAAUCAUGAUGAUGAAACCCCGACUGGAAAACUGUGUCAGCCAUCAGCCAUCGGACAGGAAGAAACACACCAAGCACUUGUAUUAAGUUCAGACAGACUAGGAAAGGAAGAAGCUGCGCACCAGAAGCCCAACAGAUCCAGAAUCACCUCCUGCCUCUUCUUCAGACUCUCCAGAAAUCUGGGCCUUGAUGAGCCCAAUUUAACACUCCAAACUUUCCACCCCUGCUUGCACAGUUCAACUGAAACACAGCAGGUUGAGACUGAGGAUAGCAGCUUCCAGGUUAAUGGACAAACCUUCCCACCACACAUCUUUAUAAAGAAAGCCAGUGAGUCAACAUUAUCUGAAAGAAUACCAUUUCCAUCCGAGAAGAAAGAAGAGUCUCUCCCGGUUGUUUGCUAUGAAUCGGAGACUGGAAAAGGCUUGAGUAAAACUCAUAGUAUCUCAAAUGGGGAAUUGGAUUCAU
ensembl:lncRNA